rnacentral:misc_RNA from 1 species
CAAUUGCUGGUCUUACAAGAAUGGUUACCUCACAUACCUUUCGACGAUCUGAUAUUUAAUCAUUCUCCCUUCUAGUUGCAAGCCCAUGGCUUACCCCCUAACCAUCAAAAUAAAGAAAAUGCCUGAUCGAUUGCAAAACUAGUGGGCACUUUUAUGGAUGUAGAUCUCACUUGGGAUGGGACUUUGGGAUUUUCGAUGUAUUUGCUGGUAAGAACGAUUAUCCCUCUCGACAAACCUCUUCUCCCUAAGUUUCAAACUAGAAAAAAGAAUGGUUCUAUGCAAUGGGUUAAGUUGAAGUAUGAAAAAUUGCCCGAUUUUUGCUAUCAAUGUGGUAUUAUUGGUCACUUGAACAAUGACUGUUUGUUGGUGGAGAAUGAUGAGGCGAUUGAAAGAAAAGAGGAAAAAUGGACUUUAAGUCUUUGUUUAAAAGCAAACCCAGUCAAUCGAAACACUUUCAAAUCCAACCCAAAACCUUCAUCCUUUUCCGCCACCAUAACUAGAGCCAAUUCAAACCUUACCAUUAAUCAAGAGAAAAUCUCACUACUUCCAUCCAUACCUUCCUAGCACACUACUCCCACAACCCUAAAUCUAGAACAAAGCCAAUUGCCACAGAAACAAUCAUACCAAUAAUCCAAAAAAACAACAAGCCUUCCUACAACUCCGCCAUAUCCUACCUAGCAACUAUCAUCUUCAACCAUUGACACAAAAUCCAAAUCCUCUUUUCCAGAUACACAAACUAGAAACCAGAAUCCUUUUACCACAAACUAGAAAUGGCCCUCUUGUUUUCAACAUGUAAAAGAGAUAGAUGGUGGUUUUGUAGUCACCAAAUGUUUCAAUGAAACUUUGGCGAAAGAACCUCCAUCAAGCCUACAACCUAUCAAUUUCUUUCAGCUUUUUCCACCACAAGAAAUCCCUAAGAUCUUUGCUGAAUAUCUUUCCUCAAUUGGAUACAAGGGAGUAGACACAGAGAGUUUGUUUCAAAAAAUUUUGUAUCUCACCUCGUACUUUCAAUCUGCAGCCACAAAGAAGAUAGCUUCUUCUAUGCCAAACCUAUGUCAGCCCCUAAACCAUCCCCCAUCUGAG